GACGAACGCUGGCGGCGCGCUUAACACAUGCAAGUCGAACGCUGAAGCCCAGCUUUUGUUGGGUGGAUGAGUGGCGAACGGGUGAGUAACACGUGAGUAACCUGCCCCCUUCUUUGGGAUAACGCCCGGAAACGGGUGCUAAUACUGGAUAUUCACUGGUCUUCGCAUGGGGGUUGGUGGAAAGGGUUUUUCUGGUGGGGGAUGGGCUCGCGGCCUAUCAGCUUGUUGGUGGGGUGAUGGCCUACCAAGGCUUUGACGGGUAGCCGGCCUGAGAGGGUGACCGGUCACAUUGGGACUGAGAUACGGCCCAGACUCCUACGGGGGGCGGCAGUGGGGAAUAUUGCGCAAUGGGCGCAAGCCUGAUGCAGCGACGCCGCGUGAGGGAUGGAGGCCUUCGGGUUGUGAACCUCUUUCGCUCAUGGUCAAGCCGCAACAAUGGUUGUGGUGAGGGUAGUGGGUAAAGAAGCGCCGGCUAACUACGUG
rnacentral:rRNA from 1 species